rnacentral:rRNA from 1 species
GAAGGUUCGUCCGCCCUGGGUUAGUCGGGACCUAAGCUGAGGCCGAAAGGCGUAGGUGAUGGACAACAGGUUGAUAUUCCUGUACUACCGAUAACCGUUUGAGAGAAGGGAUGACACAGUAGGAUAAGCUAAGCACACUGUUGGUUAUGUGUGCCCAAGCAUUGAGGCAGUCAAAGUAGGCAAAUCCGCUUUGAUAAUGCUGGGAUGUGAUGGGGAGCGAAAUUUAGUAGCGAAGUAGCUGAUUUCACACUGUCAAGAAAAGUCUCUAUCGAGGUUAAAGGUACCCGUACCGCAAACCGACACAGGUGGGUGAGGAGAGUAUCCUAAGGCCAGCGAGAGAACUGUUGUUAAGGAACUCGGCAAAAUGACCCCGUAACUUAGGGAUAAGGGGUGCCACCAUCAGGUGGCCGCAGAGAAUAGGCCCAAGCGACUGUUUACCAAAAACAUAGGUUUCUGCUAAGUCGCAAGACGAUGUAUAGGAGCUGACGCCUGCCCGGUGCUGGAAGGUUAAGGGGAUCUGUUAGAGCAAUCGAAGCAGUGAACUUAAGCCCCAGUAAACGGCGGCCGUAACUAUAACGGUCCUAAGGUAGCGAAAUUCCUUGUCGGGUAAGUUCCGACCCGCACGAAAGGCGUAACGAUUUGGGCACUGUCUCAACAACAGACUCGGUGAAAUUGUAAUUCCGGUGAAGAUGCCGGAUACCUGCGACAGGACGGAAAGACCCCAUGGAGCUUUACUGUAGCUUGACAUUGGGUCUUGGUACUACAUGUACAGGAUAGGUGGGAGGCUUUGAAACCAGGACGCCAGUUUUGGCGGAGCCAUCCUUGGGAUACCACCCUUGUAGUACUGGGACUCUAACCAUAGGCCAUGAAUCUGGUCUUGGGACACUGUCAGGUGGGCAGUUUGACUGGGGCGGUCGCCUCCCAAAAGGUAACGGAGGCGCUCAAAGGUUCUCUCAGUACGGUCGGAAAUCGUACGUAGAGUGUAAAGGCAAAAGAGAGCUUGAUUGCAAGACAUACAGGUCGAGCAAGGAUGAAAAUCGGACUUAGUGAUCCGGUGGUUCUGCGUGGAAGGGCCAUCGCUCAACGGAUAAAAGCUACCCUGGGGAUAACAGGCUUAUCUCCCCCAAGAGUCCACAUCGACGGGGAGGUUUGGCACCUCGAUGUCGGCUCAUCACAUCCUGGGGCUGUAGUAGGUCCCAAGGGUUGGGCUGUUCGCCCAUUAAAGUGGUACGCGAGCUGGGUUCAGAACGUCGUGAGACAGUUCGGUCCCUAUCCGUCGCAGGCGUAGGAAAUUUGAGAAGACCUGUCCUUAGUACGAGAGGACCGGGAUGGACGUACCUCUGGUGUACCAGUUGUUCUGCCAAGGGCAUGGCUGGGUAGCUAUGUACGGAAUGGAUAAGCGCUGAAAGCAUCUAAGCGCGAAGCCAACUUCAAGAUAAGAUUUCCCACCGCAAGGGUAAGACCCCAGAAAGACUAUCUGGUUGAUAGGUCGAAGGUGUAAGUGCAGCAAUGUAUUUAGCUUAUCGAUACUAAUAGGUCGAGGACUUGACCAA